CUGGGGGCGGUACAGCUGCAUCCGGGGCUCUUGGGCUUGUCCAGUAACCUAUGCAGGUCUGCCCUGCCUCAGGCCAAUGCUGAUGUCUUAACAAGAAUGGAAAGAAUACUGAUUGUUAGUGGUUUUGAAUGAUACCUAGCUUCAAGCAAAGGUGCAAGAUGAGAAAAGAGGCUGUGGUGAGAAAAGAUUGUAACAGGACCUACUUAAAAGAUUUUCUUGGAGAAUCCAAAUUCUUUGUCCUCUGCAGUACAUAAGUGAAUAGGAAAUAAUCCAUGCUGGCCAAGAAGGCAAAGGUAUGCCUUGAAGGAAUUUGGAUUUUAUGUCAUAGGUAACUGGAAUUCUAAAUUUGAUCAUUUUAGCAAUAUGUGUGUUUUAGGACCUGUGUUGGAUCUUAAGUCACUGUGGAGAAUGAACGAUGGGAAGUAUCAUUGGAGGGGAGAGAAGAUGUGAGAAUAGUUAGGCUCCUGCUCAUCUUCCCAUUAUCCCUGCUAUAAAUGUUACCACAUGAGAAGGCUUCCCUGACCAUCUCCCUGGUAUAGUGACUGCC